AUUGAACGCUGGCGGCAGGCCUAACACAUGCAAGUCGAGCGGUUGACGGAAGCUUGCUCCCUGAUUCAGCGGCGGACGGGUGAGUAAUGCCUAGGAAUCUGCCUAUUAGUGGGGGACAACGUUUCGAAAGGAACGCUAAUACCGCAUACGUCCUACGGGAGAAAGCAGGGGACCUUCGGGCCUUGCGCUAAUAGAUGAGCCUAGGUCGGAUUAGCUUGUUGGUGAGGUAAUGGCUCACCAAGGCGACGAUCCGUAACUGGUCUGAGAGGAUGAUCAGUCACACUGGAACUGAGACACGGUCCAGACGCCUACGGGAGGCAGCAGUGGGGAAUAUUGGACAAUGGGCGAAAGCCUGAUCCAGCCAUGCCGCGUGUGUGAAGAAGGUCUUCGGAUUGUAAAGCACUUUAAGUUGGGAGGAAGGGUUGUAGAUUAAUACUCUGCAAUUUUGACGUUACCGACAGAAUAAGCACCGGCUAACUCUGUGCCAGCAGCCGCCGUAAUAC
rnacentral:rRNA from 1 species